AUUGAACGCUGGCGGCAGGCCUAACACAUGCAAGUCGAGCGAGCGGCGGACGGGUGAGUAAUGUCUGGGAAACUGCCUGAUGGAGGGGGAUAACUACUGGAAACGGUAGCUAAUACCGCCUACCAUCAGCUGUGCCCAGAUGGCAUUAGCUAUUAGGUGGGGUAACGGCUCACCUAGGCGACAAUCCCUAGCUGGUCUGAGAGGAUGACCAGCCACACGGGAACUGAGAACCGGUCCAGAUCCCGACGGGAGGCAGCAGUGGGGAAUAUUGCACAAUGGGCGCAAGCCUGAUGCAGCCAUGCCGCGUGUAUGAAGAAGGCCUUCGGGUUGUAAAGUACUUUCAGCGGGGAGGCGUUACCCGCAGAAGAAGCACCGGCUUACUCCGUGCCAGCAGCCGCGGUAAUUC
rnacentral:rRNA from 1 species